rnacentral:tRNA from 1 species
AGUGCAGUUGGUAGAGCAUGGUGUUUGCAACGCCAGGGUUGUGGGUUCGAUUCCCAC